AGGGAUGAAGGCCUUCGGGUUGUAAACCUCUUUCAGCAGGGACGAAGCGAAAGUGACUGUACCUGCAGAAGAAGCACCGGCUAACUACGUGC
rnacentral:rRNA from 1 species